ACAGAACCGAAGAAUAAAAGACACUGAAUAUAUUAUAAUAUACUUUAUACAAAAGCGAAAAUGGGAAUCUCUGUUGCGGGGCUGGCUACGAAACUAGUCAUCUGAUCAUCAUGUGGCUAUUUUAAUAAUUUAGUACAUUUGUACAUUUGUACAAUGGCAUUUAGAAGCCAUUAUAAGCUAUUGAAAAUAUUGGUCAAUCUGGUCAGUAGAUGUAGUAGACCUAACCCUGCAGUAGUUUAGGCUGGAUAAAAAAAAAAAAAUUAUCAGGUAGUUUUUAUUGCUUAGUGACUAUACUACUAAUUUAUAUGAAUGCGUUUGAAAAAAAAAUGAAGAAAAUGCAUUUUUAAAGAUUAACUGCAGUGAUAGCGACGGAGAUUGAAACAGGAAAUCCAGGAGAAAAUCGUUUUUGUUAGGUUCACAUUUGCUUGAAACGGGCAACGCCAGACGUGACAGCUAUUAAUAUACUUAUAUGAUACGGUUAAAAUGUAUUAAUGUCGCUAUAAUUAUAUUUUUCGCAUAUGAAAACUGAUUUUGCGCUGAUAGUUUUAAUAUUGGAGUGUAUUAGUCUACUAAAAAAUACUUAAACGUAGCCAAGAACAUUGUCUGUUUCUACGUUAGUUU